GACGAACGCUGGCGGCGUGCUUAACACAUGCAAGUCGAACGGAAAGGCCCUGCUCUUGUGGGGUGCUCGAGUGGCGAACGGGUGAGUAACACGUGAGUAACCUGCCCUUGACUUUGGGAUAACUUUAGGAAACUGGGGCUAAUACCGGAUAGGAGCUCCUGCUGCAUGGUGGGGGUUGGUAAGUUUCGGCGGUUGGGGCUGGACUCGCGGCUUAUCCGCUUGUUGGUGGGGUAGUGGCUUACCAAGGCUUUGACGGGUAGCCCGCCUUGGAGGGUGACCGGCGACAAUGGGACUGAGGGACGGCCCAGAAGCCUACGGGAGGCAGCAGUGGGGAAUAUGACGCAAUGGGCGGAAGCCUGAUGCAGCAACGCCGCGUGCGGAAUGACGGCCUUCGGGUUGUAAACCGCUGUCUCAGGUGACGAAGCGGUAGUGACGGUAAUGGGUAAAGAAGCACCGGCUAACUACGUG
rnacentral:rRNA from 1 species